AACGAACGCUGGCGGCAUGCCUAACACAUGCAAGUCGAACGAGACCUUCGGGUCUAGUGGCGCACGGGGGCGUAACGCGGGGGAACCUGCCCGUAGGUUCGGAAUAACACCCCGAAAGGGGUGCUAAUACCGGAUAAUGUCCUCUGACCAAAGAUUUAUCGCCUUUGUAUGGGCCCGCGUUGGAUUAGCCGGUUGGGAGGGUAAAAGCCUACCAAGGCGACGAUCCAUAGCUGGUCUGAGAGGAUGAUCAGCCACACUGGGACUGAGACACGGCCCAGACUACUACGGGAGGCAGCAGUGGCGAAUAUUGGCCAAUGGGCGGAAGCCUGAUCCAGCACUGCCGCGUGAGUGAUGAAGGCCUUAGAGUUGUACAGCUCUUUUACCCGGGAUGAUAAUGACAGUACCGAAAGAAUAAGCUCCGGCUAACUCCGUG
rnacentral:rRNA from 1 species